UGCGACGGGUCGAGAAGAUCUCUGAACGUUAGAGGUCUAAUUGAUUUUGGCGGCACAUGAUCCACCGAUCACCUACCGGAUGUAGGCGUGCUGGACAAGACUUUUGUGGAGAAG
rnacentral:ncRNA from 1 species